GACGAACGCUGGCGGCGUGCUUAACACAUGCAAGUCGAACGGAAAGGCCCUGCUUUUUUGGGGUGCUCGAGUGGCGAACGGGUGAGUAACACGUGAGUAACCUGCCCUUGACUUUGGGAUAACUUCAGGAAACUGGGGCUAAUACCGGAUAGGAGCUCCUGCUGCAUGGUGGGGGUUGGAAAGUUUCGGCGGCUGGGGAUGGACUCGCGGCUUAUCAGCUUGUUGGUGGGGUAGUGGCUUACCAAGGCUUUGACGGGUCGCCGGCCUGAGAGGGUGACCGGCCACAUUGGGACUGAGAUACGGCCCAGACGCCUACGGGAGGCAGCAGUGGGGAAUAUGGCACAAGGGGCGGAGGCCUGAUGCAGCAACGCCGAGUGCGGGAUGACGGCCUUCGGGUUGUAAACCGCUUUCGCCUGUGACGAGGCGUGAGUGACGGUAAUGGGUAAAGAAGCACCGGCUAACUACGU
rnacentral:rRNA from 1 species